rnacentral:rRNA from 1 species
GACGAACGCUGGCGGCGUGCUUAACACAUGCAAGUCGAACGGUGAAGCGCCUUCCUUUUUGGUUGGUGUGGAUGAGUGGCGAACGGGUGAGUAACACGUGAGUAACCUGCCCCCUUCUUCUGGAUAACCGCAUGAAAGUGUGGCUAAUACGGGAUAUUCUGGGUCUGUCGCAUGAUGGGUCUGGGAAAGAUAUUGUUUCGGUGGGGGAUGGGCUCGCGGCCUAUCAGCUUGUUGGUGGGGUGAUGGCCUACCAAGGCGGUGACGGGUAGCCGGCCUGAGAGGGUGGACGGUCACACUGGGACUGAGACACGGCCCAGACUCCUACGGGAGGCAGCAGUGGGGAAUAGUGCACAAUGGGCGCAAGCCUGAUGCAGCGACGCCGCGUGAGGGAUGGAGGCCUUCGGGUUGUGAACCUCUUUCGCCAGUGAAGCAGGCCUGCCUCGUUUGUGGGUGGGUUGACGGUAGCUGGAUAAGAAGCGCCGGCUAACUACGUG